rnacentral:rRNA from 1 species
AGUGAACGCUGGCGGUAGGCCUAACACAUGCAAGUCGAACGGCAGCACAGUAAGAGCUUGCUCUUACGGGUGGCGAGUGGCGGACGGGUGAGGAAUACAUCGGAAUCUACUUUUUCGUGGGGGAUAACGUAGGGAAACUUACGCUAAUACCGCAUACGACCUACGGGUGAAAGCAGGGGAUCUUCGGACCUUGCGCGAUUGAAUGAGCCGAUGUCGGAUUAGCUAGUUGGCGGGGUAAAGGCGCACCAAGGCGACGAUCCGUAGCUGGUCUGAGAGGAUGAUCAGCCACACUGGAACUGAGACACGGUCCAGACUCCUACGGGAGGCAGCAGUGGGGAAUAUUGGACAAUGGGCGCAAGCCUGAUCCAGCCAUGCCGCGUGGGUGAAGAAGGCCUUCGGGUUGUAAAGCACUUUUGUUGGGAAAGAAAAGCAGCAGGUUAAUACCCCGCUGUUCUGACGUUACCCACAGAAUAAGCACCGGCUAACUUCGUG